CCCAUGCAAAGCUUGUAGGAAGCAGAAAAGCAGAGUUCCUGUGGCAUAAUGACUGUUCUGGAAAAUGCUGUCAAUGGAUUUUCCAUUACUGGGCACAUAUAAUGAAUGGGAAAAAGUGCAGAGAGCCUAAAGGAUCCCAGUGUGCUUAUGAAUACUUUAAUUCAUUACUGGAAUGAAUUCUCUUUCAAUAAAUUAUGAG